rnacentral:rRNA from 1 species
UACGGAGGGUGCGAGCGUUGUUCGGAAUCACUGGGCGUAAAGCGCGUGUAGGCGGCCCACUAAGUCUGAUGUGAAAGCCCGGGGGCUCACCCCCCGGAAGUGCAUUGGAAACUGGUGGACUCGAGUCCCGGAGAGGAGAGUGGAAUUCCUGGUGUAGCGGUGAAAUGCGUAGAUAUCAGGAGGAACACCGGUGGCGAAGGCGGCUCUCUGGAGCGGUGACUGACGCUGAGACGCGAAAGCGUGGGGAGCAAACAGG